AGCUAACAAGGAUCCCUAGUAACUGCGAGUGAAGCGGGAAAAGCUCAAAUUUAAAAUCUGGCGGUCUUUGGCCGUCCGAGUUGUAAUCUAGAGAAGUGAUGCCCGCGCUGGACCGUGUACAAGUCUCCUGGGAUGGAGCGUCACAGAGGGUGAGAAUCCCGUCUCUGACACGGACUACCAGUGCUUUGUGGUACGCUCUCAACGAGUCGAGUUGUUUGGGAAUGCAGCUCAAAAUGGGUGGUAAAUUCCAUCUAAAGCUAAAUAUUGGCGAGAGACCGAUAGCGAACAAGUACCGUGAGGGAAAGAUGAAAAGAACUUUGGAAAGAGAGUUAAACAGUACGUGAAAUUGCUGAAAGGGAAACGCUUGAAGUCAGUCGCGUUGGCCGGGGAUCAGCCUCGCUUUUGCGUGGUGUACUUUCCGGUUGACGGGUCAGCAUCAAUUUUGACCGGUGGAAAAAGGCAUGGGGAAUGUGGCAGCUCCGGCUGUGUUAUAGCUUCAUGUCACAUACAGCGGUUGGGAUUGAGGAACUCAGCACGCCGCAAGGCCGGGUUUSGACCACGUUCGUGCUUAGGAUGCUGGCAUAAUGGCUUUAAGCGACCCGUCUUGAAACACGGACCAAGGAGUCUAACAUGCCUGCGAGUGUUUGGGUGGAAAACCCGAGCGMGUAAUGAAAGUGAAAGUUGAGAUCCCUGUCGUGGGGAGCAUCGACGCCCGGACCAGAACUUUUGGGACGGAUCCGCGGUAGAGCAUGUAUGUUGGGACCCGAAAGAUGGUGAACUAUGCCUGAAUAGGGUGAAGCCAGAGGAAACUCUGGUGGAGGCUCGUAGCGAUUCUGACGUGCAAAUCGAUCGUCAAAUUUGGGUACAGGGGCGAAAGACGAAUCGAACCA
rnacentral:rRNA from 1 species